rnacentral:rRNA from 1 species
CAAUCGAACCCGGAGAUAGCUGGUUCUCCUCGAAAUAGCUUUAGGGCUAGCCUCGAUACAGAUUUGCGGAGGUAGAGCACUGAAUUUCCUAGGGGGCGUCAAAGCCUACCGAAGAAUAUCAAACUCCGAAUGCCGCGUAAUUGCUUACCGGGAGUCAGACUGCACGAGAUAAGUUGGGCAGUCAAAAGGGAAAGAGCCCAGACCUUCAGUUAAGGUCCCAAAGUGUGCGUUAAGUGGAAAAGGAUGUGGGAUUUCGAAGACAACCAGGAUGUUGGCUCAGAAGCAGCCAUUCAUUCAAAGAGUGCGUAAUAGCUCACUGGUCGAGAGGUCCUGCGCCGAAAAUGUCCGGGGCUGAAACGCACCACCGAAACUAAGGGAUCCGAAAGGAUCGGUAGAGGAGCAUUGCAUGUGGGAUGAAGCAGUACCGUAAGGAGCUGUGGACUGCAUGGAAGAGAGAAUGCCGGAAUGAGUAGCGAGAUAGAGGUGAGAAUCCUCUAGGCCGAAUAUCCAAGGUUUCCAGGGUAAAGCUGAUCUGCCCUGGGUAAGUCGGGGCCUAAGGUGAGGGCGAGAGCCGUAGCCGAUGGACAACAGGUGGAGAUUCCUGUACUAUGAUAUGACAGAACUGUGGGGACACGUGCAGAGAGCGGAAGCCGGGAAUGGGAUCCCGGUGCAAGCGAGGUACCAGUCACAUUGGAAAAACCGUGUGGCAAUGGGAAGACGUGAUGCGGAGUGAAGUUUAGUAAUGAAGUCCGUGAGCUGUGCGUCAAGAAAAGCCGCUAUUGUUCAUACCAUACCCGUACCGUAAACCGACACAGGUGGAUGAGGAGAGAAUCCUAAGGCCGGCGGGAGAAGCAUUGUUAAGGAACUCGGCAAAAUGACCCCGUAACUUCGGGAGAAGGGGUGCCUGCGAGAGCAGGCCGCAGAGAAUAGGCUCAAGCAACUGUUUAGCAAAAACACAGGUCUAUGCGAAACCGAAAGGUGAGGUAUAUGGGCUGACGCCUGCCCGGUGCUGGAAGGUUAAGAGGAGAGGUUAGCGGUAACGCGAAGCUUUGAAUUUAAGCCCCAGUAAACGGCGGCCGUAACUAUAACGGUCCUAAGGUAGCGAAAUUCCUUGUCGGGUAAGUUCCGACCCGCACGAAAGGCGUAAUGAUUUGGGCACUGUCUCAACAAUGCACCCGGUGAAAUUGAAAUACCAGUGAAGAUGCUGGUUACCUGCGCCAGGACGGAAAGACCCCAUGGAGCUUUACUCCAGUUUGGUACUGGGGUCCGGUAUUGCAUGUACAGGAUAGGUGGGAGGCUAGGAAAUGGUAACGCCAGUUGCCAUGGAGCCGCUGUUGGGAUACCACCCUUGCAGUAUUGGGUUUCUAACCAGCCGCCGUGACCCGGCGGUGGGACAAUGCCAGACGGGGAGUUUGACUGGGGCGGUCGCCUCCGAAAGGGUAUCGGAGGCGCCCAAAGGUUCCCUCAGAAUGGACGGAAACCAUUCGAAGAGUGCAAAGGCAGAAGGG